rnacentral:antisense_RNA from 1 species
CUUCACCGAGCCCAACCACAACGGCUCCGCGCGAUCCUGACCAUAGGUGGCCAACAGAGCCUGAGCCUC